GUGAGCGUACCACCCCUAUUCUGUUAACACUGUGUGAAACUGAGCAAGGAGACGCCACUGGAUCUUGAGUGAAAAUCUGUCAAAUUACCAACUUAAAACAAACUCUCCUGCGAUAAAUAACCUUACUGAGGUGGACCGUUAUCUGAGCGGAUGUGUGGGGUUGUGUUAAUCACCUGCGGCACAAGACGUUGAACUUUCGUUUUUGGAUUGUGUCUUCAGUUUUUGGAUCAUCAAUCUUCAACUUCAUUAUUGUGGAGCCGACCUGAGAGUGGAGGUCUGCACCGGAAGUGUUUCCACAGUGGAGGUCUGCAGUUGGACCCUCUUGAAAAUUCCCGCCUUGUUUCUCCACUGAGGACGUCUGAGAAGUUGGAGCUGAAGCAUGUGAGGAAAAUAUAAGCAUCAAUCACUUACAGUCCCCUCCAAAAGUAUUGGAACGGUUUCUGCGCCUGGAUCAGGGAGACACUGAUGAGCCAAAUGCAGCAGAACUGAGGCAUUAUGUAUGUCCACCUUGAUUAGCCUCCACAAAUGAAAUUUCAACAAAAGAAACGCAUGAUUAUAGUCGCCAUCCUCCUCAUUCUCUCCCUGUACUGGAUAUUGAGGUGGGUGAAAUCACUGGUCUGAUCUGCUUCACUUUAUCAUCCAAUUCCAACUGUGGCCUUAUAUGUGGCUCAGAUAUGGAGGGUCCAUAUUGCAAUUCCUUUUUGUCCCUAUUAAAAACCACAGGUGGUGAAAAAUAAAAUCUGUGACUUAAAUAUACACUCACUUUGUCAAGCUUAUCCUGUAUAUUAUUUACAGUUACAGAGGAAUGUUUCCCCAUUAUUUUAAAUAUACAUAUAUAAAUGUCACCCUUUUUACAGGAAAUUCUGGAUUUCUUACUGCUCUUGAAGUGGUGUUCUAGUUUUCUGAUUCAUAUUGAUUUGGUUAUGUGGUAAUGGUCUUUAUGGGAACAGAAUUUACCUAGAAGCUUCAGGUACAAAAACCUCAAUCAAUGAUCACCUUUUUACUUCAGCAUAUCAUUUGAUCAGUAUAUGGAAACCUUUACAUUCAGGACCAGCCGUGGCAUAGGUGACAUAGGCCGUUGCCUAGGACGCUAUGCUGUGCGCUAAUCAAUUCUGCCCAUCUGAUAUAAUCAUCAAAAAACUGAAGCGCAACCUUUCUCUGUUUGGAACUGUGAGCUGCACUUUACUGGAACUGCUGAAGUUAAUAUGUGUUUGGAUUUGUGGUGGGAUUUUUUGCCGAAAUAGUAGUGUUAUCUGAAGUCAGUCAGACUCGAAAAUGUGCAGUUUCACUGUAUUGGGGUGGUCUGGGGGGCCUGGCCUCACUCAGUGCAACACAUCUCCUUCGCAUAGAGUGGAUCAGGUUUUUGAUUGUGGCCUGUGGAAUGUUGGUCCACUACUCUUCAAUGGCUGUGCGAAGUUGCUGGAUAUUGGCAGGACCUGGAACAUGCUGUCGUGUACGCCGAUCCAGAGCAUGUGCCAAAUGCCAUCAAAUAUGAGCAUUUGCCCACCAAAGCCGGUUAUGACGACUAACUGGAGUCAGGUCGAGACCCCGAUGAGGACGUCGAGCAUGCAGAUGAACUUCCCUGAGACGGUUAAUGACAGUUUGUGCAGAAAUUCUUUGGUCAUGCAAACCGAUUGUUGCAGCAGAUGUCCGGGUGGCCGGUCUCAGACGAUCUUGGAGGUGAAAAUGCUAGAUGGGGAGGUGGUGGGCUGGUGUGGUUACACAUGGUCGGCAGUUGUGAGGCCGGUUGAAUACUGUCAUAUUCUCUGAAACGCCUUUUGGAGACGGCUUAUGGUAGAGAAAUGAACAUUCAAUUCACGGGCAACAGCUCUGGUGGACAUUCCUGCAUGCACCAUGCACACUCCGCAUGAGAGCUGGCAUGAUGCGUGUCAUGUGGCUGUCCGGCCACUUUGUCUGUCAGGAGAGCCCGGGGUCAGGGCGGUGUUUGGCUGCAGCGUGGUGCAGGUGGCAACCGCUGUUACGAGGAGAGCCCCGUG